rnacentral:rRNA from 1 species
CCGCACGGGUGAGUAACACGUAUCCAACCUGCCGUCUACUCUUGGCCAGCCUUCUGAAAGGAAGAUUAAUCCAGGAUGGCAUCAUGAGUUCACAUGUCCGCAUGAUUAAAGGUAUUUUCCGGUAGACGAUGGGGAUGCGUUCCAUUAGAUAGUAGGCGGGGUAACGGCCCACCUAGUCAACGAUGGAUAGGGGUUCUGAGAGGAAGGUCCCCCACAUUGGAACUGAGACACGGCCCAA